rnacentral:rRNA from 1 species
UCCUACGGGAGGCAGCAGUGGGGAAUAUUGCGCAAUGGACGAAAGCCUGACCCAGCGACGCCGCGUGGGGGAUGAAGGUUUUCGGAUUGUAAACCCCUGUCAGGUGGGAAGAAGAGCUUGUCGGAUAAUACUCGGCAGGAAUUGACGGUACCACCAAAGGAAGCCCCGGCUAACUCCGUGCCAGCAGCCGCGGUAAUACGGAGGGGGCAAGCGUUAUUCGGAUUUACUGGGCGUAAAGCGCACGUAGGCGGCAAGGUAAGUCAAAGGUGAAAGCCCUCGGCUCAACCGAGGAAUUGCCUUUGAAACUGCUUUGCUUGAGUCCGGGAGGGGGGAGCGGAAUUCCCAGUGUAGCGGUGAAAUGCGUAGAUACUGGGAGGAACACCGGUGGCGAAGGCGGCUCCCUGGACCGGUACUGACGCUGAGGUGCGAAAGCGUGGGUAGCAAACAGGAUUAGAUACCCUGGUAGUCCACGCCGUAAACGAUGGGCACUAGGUGCAGCGGGUGUCGACCCCUGCUGUGCCGAAGUUAACGCAUUAAGUGCCCCGCCUGGGGAGUACGGUCGCAAGGCUGAAACUCAAAGGAA